rnacentral:rRNA from 1 species
UCGAACGAAGUAGCAAUACUUAGUGGCAGACGGGUGAGUAACAUGUGGGUAUCUGCCCUUUGGCCUGGAAUAACACGAGGAAACUUGUGCUAAUACCGGAUAAGUCUUUACGGAGAAAGCUUUAUGCACCAUUGGAUGAGCCCGCACUUGAUUAGUUUGUUGGUGGGGUAAUGGCCUACCAAGACUGUGAUCAAUAGCUGAUUUGAGAGGAUGAUCAGCCACAUUGGGACUGAGACACGGCCCAAACUCCUACGGGAGGCAGCAGUGGGGAAUCUUGCACAAUGGAGGAAACUCUGAUGCAGCGAUGCCGCGUGAGUGAAGAAGGCCCUUGGGUUGUAAAGCUCUUUCGUCGGGGAAGAAAAUGACUGUACCCGAAUAAGAAGGUCCGGCUAACUUCGUGCCAGCAGCCGCGGUAAUACGAAGGGACCUAGCGUAGUUCGGAAUUACUGGGCUUAAAGAGUUCGUAGGUGGUUGAAAAAGUUAGUGGUGAAAUCCCAGAGCUUAACUCUGGAACUGCCAUUAAAACUUUUCAGCUAGAGUAUGAUAGAGGAAAGCAGAAUUUCUAGUGUAGAGGUGAAAUUCGUAGAUAUUAGAAAGAAUACCAAUUGCGAAGGCAGCUUUCUGGAUCAUUACUGACACUGAGGAACGAAAGCAUGGGUAGCGAAGAGGAUUAGAUACCCUCGUAGUCCAUGCCGUAAACGAUGUGUGUUAGACGUUGGAAAUUUAUUUUCAGUGUCGCAGCGAAAGCGAUAAACACACCGCCUGGGGAGUACGACCGCAAGGUUAAAACUCAAAUGAAUUGACGGGGACCCGCACAAGUAGUGGAGCAUGUGGUUUAAUUCGAAGAUACGCGCAGAACCUUACCAACACUUGACAUGUUCGUCGCGACUCUAAGAGAUUAGAGUUUUCGGUUCGGCCGGACGAAACACAGGUGCUGCAUGGCUGUCGUCAGCUCGUGUCGUGAGAUGUUGGGUUAAGUCCCGCAACGAGCGCAACCCUCACUUUUAGUUGCCAUCAUUAAGUUGGGCACUCUGAAAGAACUGCCAGUGAUAAGCUGGAGGAAGGUGGGGAUGACGUCAAGUCCUCAUGGCCCUUACGUGUUGGGCUACACACGUGCUACAAUGGUAUCUACAACAGGAAGCAAGACUGCGAGGUCAAGCAAAUCCUUAAAAGAUACCUCAGUUCGGAUUGCACUCUGCAACUCGAGUGCAUGAAGCUGGAAUUACUAGUAAUCGUGGAUCAGCGUGCCACGGUGAAUGCGUUCCCGGGUCUUGUACACACCGCCCGUCAC